rnacentral:rRNA from 1 species
GACGAACGCUGGCGGCGUGCCUAACACAUGCAAGUCGAGCGAAUGAAGUUCCUUCGGGAACGGAUUUAGCGGCGGACGGGUGAGUAACACGUGGGCAACCUGCCUCAUAGAGGGGAAUAGCCUUCCGAAAGGGAGAUUAAUACCGCAUAAGAUUGUAGUUUCGCAUGGUACAGCAAUUAAAGGAGCAAUCCGCUAUGAGAUGGGCCCGCGGCGCAUUAGCUAGUUGGUGAGGUAACGGCUCACCAAGGCGACGAUGCGUAGCCGACCUGAGAGGGUGAUCGGCCACAUUGGGACUGAGACACGGCCCAGACUCCUACGGGAGGCAGCAGUGGGGAAUAUUGCACAAUGGGGAAACCCUGAUGCAGCAACGCCGCGUGAGUGAUGACGGCCUUCGGGUUGUAAAGCUCUGUCUUCAGGGACGAUAAUGACGGUACCUGAGGAGGAAGCCACGGCUAACUACGUGCCAGCAGCCGCGGUAAGAC